rnacentral:rRNA from 1 species
AACGAACGCUGGCGGCGCGCUUAACACAUGCAAGUCGAACGAGAAGGCGUAGCAAUACGCUUGUACAGUGGCGAACGGGUGAGUAAUACGUGGGCGACCUACCCUCGAGUGGGGAAUAACCCGCCGAAAGGCGGGCUAAUGCCGCGUACGCUUCCAUCUUUAUGGAGGUGGAAGGAAAGCCGUGCCGUGGGCACGGCGCUCAAGGAUGGGCUCACGUCCUAUCAGCUUGUUGGUAGGGAACGGCCUACCAAGGCUCCGACGGGUAGCUGGUCUGAGAGGACGAUCAGCCACACUGGCACUGCGACACGGGCCAGACUCCUACGGGAGGCAGCAGUGAGGAAUAUUGCGCAAUGGGCGAAAGCCUGACGCAGCGACGCCGCGUGGGGGAUGAAGGUCUUCGGAUUGUAAACCCCUUUCGGGAGGGAAGAUGGGACGGGCAACCGUUCGGACGGUACCUCCAGAAGCAGCCACGGCUAACUUCGUGCCAGCCGCCG